UACGGAAGGCAGCAGUGGGGAAUAUUGCACAAUGGGCGAAAGCCUGAUGCAGCUAUGCCGCGUGUAUGAAGAAGGCCUUAGGGUUGUAAAGUACUUUCAUCGGGGAGGAAAAACAAAACUAAUAAUUUUAUUUCUUGACGUUACCCGAAAAAGAAGCACCGGCUAACUCCGUGCCAGCAGCCGCGGUAAUACGGAGGGUGCUAGCGUUAAUCAGAAUUACUGGGCGUAAAGAGCACGUAGGUGGUUUUUUUAAGUUCAGAUGUGAAAUCCCUGGGCUUAACCUAGGAACUGCAUUUUGAAACUGAAAUACUAGAGUAUCGUAGAGGGAGGUAGAAUUCUAGGUGUAGCGGUGAAAUGCGUAGAUAUCUGGAGGAAUACCUGUGGCGAAAGCGGCCUCCUAAACGAAUACUGACACUGAGGUGCGAAAGCGUGGGGAGCGAAACAGGGAUUAGACUACC
rnacentral:rRNA from 1 species